rnacentral:lncRNA from 1 species
GAAGAUGGAACGAGCCACCCUUGAUCUUGGGUGCACAAAUGGGCAUUCCCGAGUUCGUCAGUACCAUCUUACGAGUGUGUCCGGAGGCAGCUACCUACCUGGACACCCGUGGCCGAAGCGUUCUCCAAGUAGCAAUAGAGCAUGGUAACCGAGAGAUUGUGAGAACUAUACGUGAGAUGAUUCGGGGGAAGAAUCCCAUACUACCAUCCUGGCUACUGUCCCGCGUCGACAAAAGGACCGGAAGAACCAUCCUGCACUUGGCUUCGGCAACUGCCCCCGAGCAUAACCAAGAUGCUCUACAAAUGCAAGAUGAAUUAAGAUGGUUUGAGGUCAAGUCCCUGACUUCAUUAACUACAAAUAAAUCAUUAUAUUCUCAGAGUUGCCUGCUAAAUUUGAUCGUUUUCUGACAUUUGAAUGCAGACGGUGAGAGAUAUGGUUCCUAAGGAAUUAGUGUACAGUCGGAACGCGCAAGAGAUGACCGCAGAAGAGAUGUUUACUGAGAGUCACCGGGAGAUGCUCAAGAGUUGCAAGGGUCAACUAAUGGAAACGGGCAGGACGUGUUCAGGGCUUGUCGCUGCUGUAGUGUUCGCGUCGAGCUUCUCCAUCCCCGGCGAUAAGGACCCAGCGACCGGCAACCCGGUUUACUUCGGUAGGGCAGCUUUUACGGUCUUCUCACAUUUUUACGUGAUUGGGUUGUCAUGCGCCGCCACAUCUCUGGUGUUGUUCUUAUCCCUCGCCAUGUCACCGUACAAGGAGCAGCAGUUCCGUCGUAUCAUCCCAACCAAAUACUUCUUUGCCCGCUCGUCGUUUGCGAUGGCGAUGCUGUCUUUUCUGGUGGCGUUCACCUGCAACAUCUACCUACAGAUAUAUGGCUGGCAGAAGGCGAAGUCGAAGGACUUGAUUCCAUUCGUAUUGGAGCUCACCGUCUUCCCCGUCAUCUGUUCCCUGGUGUUGUUCUUUCGUGGCUCCGAUUUCGGUCUAUCUUUCCUUGUUCGUCUUUGGGGUUGAGUCAACAAGCAUGAUCGUCCACAUCUUUGGAAUCUGCAGCUUCAUGAUGCACGUGGGUUCUACCUAUUGCGGGUAUGCCACCUGUUCUAGUGGUGUGUGGUGGUGGUAGUCAUUGGACAGUUAAUAACUUGUGUGUACAAGCAGCGACAAAGGCUUGUGAUGUAUGGACGCUAGUUGAUUGCAACUUUAAUGUGUUCUUUUCUUCUAUCUUAAAUUAGAUGAUGAUAUAGGCGCAGCGGUAGACAACAGAUCCGAUCACCAAUAAUGGUGAUGUCCCUCUCUAUUGUUUUUGACGAAGUCAAUAUGACAUAACUGUUGACCGGAUCUUACCCUGUAUUGUCAUGUAAAUGUCACAUGUCGAGUGACAGAUUUCCCCUAUCGUAUGGACGUCCUUUGGUUUUCCCAGAGGUCGGCUAGAACAUAGGCUCGAGUCUUUUUGAAUAUUCUGUGACAAAUCACAUAGUCCAUAUCGUAAAGUUUUGGCCCACCAAAGUUUGCACAGGCAAACGAAAUGAUUGGCUUAUAGAAGCCAAUCAUUCAAUAAGUGAAGGACAUCAAUUUUGGAUUAAAAAAAUAUCAACAAAAUACAAAUCACCUUUAUAGAAAGGAAAGAAAACUCUCCGUGGAGAGCUUUAUUGCACUCCUUCCCAUCCAUCAUCUAUGGAGUCAAAUAAGAAAGAUUCAAGAGAAGAUAGGAAUGGUCCGAGUGAAGAAGACAAACUAACGAGCAGCAAUGCUCGUCUAUUCCAAAGACCUGCCACGAGAAUAAUACAGCGAGAAAAAAAGAAAGAAAAGGAAGAAGCUUAUUUAUGAGGUGCGAAAGGUGAUGGACAUCCGAUUCACGCCGUUGCAGCUGAUGGUUACCAUCCUCUUCCGAAGCCAACUUGUGCUCGGCUCCUUUGAUUCCUUGCUCGCCCUUUCCCAAUUACUUUUUACAUAAAAUUAAUAUAUUUUAUGUAAAAAUAUAUUAAAUUUUAUAAAAUAUAUUCUAAAUUAUUCAAAAUAUAUUAUUACACUCUCAUUCAAAGAACGUGUUAAAAAAAAUAUUUUUUUUUAUAAAAUUAUCCUAAAUUCAUCAUAAAACUAAUCAUAAAAUUCUACAUCUCUUAUUUUCUAUUUCUUAUAUUGACUUAGUUAUGUUCAAAAUUAAAAUAAAUUAAAUUCGAUUACCUAACCUAUUUUAAUAUUAAUAUUUUUUUUACUUUUAGAUAUAUCUAGAAUAAUUAAUUAUCAAAACUUUGAGAAUUCUACUAUAAUUUGAUUCUAACAAAAUUAUAAUAAAUUUAUAUAAAAAUUAAUAUAUCUUAGUAAAUUCGAGUGUAACUUGGAUGUAAGAGAUUUGGCUUAACUUGAUUCUACUGGAUUCGAAGGGAUCCGACCCAAAUCGAUCUAAUUCAGAUCGAAUCAACCUGCUAAUCAGUCAGGUUUAAAAUAGUCUAUUUCAAAAGUAUUAUCAAAAUUUUUAAAGAAAAUCACCUUUUGUAUGAGCUUUUAUCUUUAUACAUACAAAGUAUCCUAUUAAACAUGAGGUAUUACAAAAAAAAAAAAAAAAUCCCUCUCCAAAGACCUCCUGUCAUGUCAACUCUAGUAAAAUCCCUAUUAACUAGAGAAAGAAGUUCUUCGUUUAUACUAUAGUCGAGACUGCAACCGAUUCAUUGUUAUUUACUCAUUUUCUUUUGGUUCGUUUUCAUGUCAGUGUCAAGCUAUAUGAUAGGUAAACAAGUGUUUGGUACCCUGUCUCCGUUCCACCAUGCGCUGACGUUAUCAGAUUCCCUUUCGCUGAUCUAUAUAUCUUAUUGUCAGAAGACGUGAGACUGAAAGUGAUAUGUUGGAGGAAAGUAUUGAUUAUAUUUCUAUUUAUUAUUGGUUGACCGAUGGAGAUGGUUACUUUACUUGGGAUGUCAUGUUGAGGUAAUUAAAUCAUGCCAACGCAGAUUCGAAUAAUAAAAUUCCUUUAGCUUGUCAUUAAGCAAAAGACACCCACUCGAAGAUAACGUGAUUUGGAGCUACAAAUGAUAACACUGAGAGCAAAAGAUUCAAUAAAGAGAUGUUGCCAUAAUCCCGGGUGCAUAAAAAGAAUCGGAGACCAACCAAAGGGUCAUCAACUCCAAAGACUUGCGAUGAGUAUGAUCUACAAAACCUUUUCUAUAAGGUGCAAGUUGAAUGAUCGGUGGAGACCCACAAGUAGAGGUUUGGGUGCAAGCUUCCGGAUUAUUGUUUCCUGUAGAGCAAGAAUCGUUGACCCACAAGUUAAAGCUACUGUCUAGCUUUAACGUAUGUGAAUUAUUCAUUAGUAGGUUGGCCUCUGUAACAUACGAUUAAUUUGUUGUCGAAUCUUUUGUGACUGAGAUGAAAACGGAGACCAACCAAUGGGUUCUCAACUCCGAAGACUUGCGAUGAGUAUGACCUACAAAAACCAAGGGGGAAGGAGGUGUACGACGAUGGAUGAGAGCCAAAAGGAUCAGCUAGUCUGCUUGUUAAGGCAGGCAUUCAGGUUGCUUUAGUUUCGCAGUAGAAAUCUGGAGGCGAAGGCGUACGCACCAUAUAGCAACUGCAUGCUAUGGGGGAUCCCGCCGCUCUUGCCAAUACGGAUUCCAUUCACGACGGCACAGAGGAUGCUGAUCCACUGCAUGUUCUCAACAGGAGACAUUUUCUCACGGUGAAGUCUCAUUUCCGUCGGAAGAGGCACGAGGCACUCUUGGUUCUAGCCGUGGAAGAUCCUGGUCGCCCGGUGAACCUCAUGAACGACACUUUGCUCCACGUCGUCAUAGCUUGCAACAAGACCGACCUCGCCAGAAGUAUUAUCUUGCAGAUGCCAGUGGAGACCCUCGCGGCCAAGAAUUUGUACGGCGACACGGCUCUUCAUGUCGCUGCCGCCAUGGGUAACAGCGAGGUGGCCAGGGAGCUGUUCGGCAGGAACGAAGAUCUCAUCGAAGAACAGAACUUGAAGCAGGAGACACCACUGCACAAAGCGGCGUUCUACGGGCAUCAUGACAUGUUCUGGUGCCUGGUUAACGAGGGGAAUGGCUCCCCGUACGAGCGGAGGGAGGACGGCGCCACCAUGCUGCACUGUGCCAUCAUGGGCAACGAGCCGGGUAAGCGGUCAUCACCAGUUUCGUUGGCCAGCUGCCUUUAUCUUGUUUUUAUCCUAUUUAUUUGAAUUUUUAUAUGUGGAUCAUACUGCUUCCGCAUCUUUGGCGUGAUCAAGGUGAGUGAGUCGAUGCAGGGCUGGCACUGGAGAUUGCAGAGCGUUUUCCAUUGCUGAUCACGUCGAGGAAUACUAUGGCGGUAACCCCAUUGCAGCUGAUGGUGACCGUUCCGGGGUUAUUCCGAAGCCAAAUGGUAAUUGGCGGCUUCGAGUCCAUCCUCCAUGACUGUAAGUGCUGCCCCGCCUCUUCCUUCAACGCCCCCAGCGCCCCGCCCUCCCCCCUGCUUCUCUAUUUAUUGCACUACAUUUCCUACCAACGACUACCUUAAUUUAGCGAUCGUUCGACGUCCAAAUCUAUUGAGAAUUUACCAAGGGGUGUUUUUUUCUCAUUAUCGGAACACAUAUACCCUUGCUUAUUUGGAUUUAUUAUAUGGUUUUGUGUUAAACGCAUCAAAUCUAAUCGGUUGAGUCUGGUUUGCUCUCUGUUCUUUGUUCUUUCACGUCUCCUCCUCCUACCCUCAAUUCACCCUUUGUUUGUCACCCUUUCACCCUUAUUCUUUCUUCUUCAAGGAGGAGGAGCAGAGGAGGAGGAGGAGAGGAAGCGACACAAGGUUGACUGGUUCAUUGAACCGGUUCACUGAUCCAAACUGUUUCAGUGAAUCAUUUCAAAAAGUUCGAAAUGUAAUUAAAUUGGAAUAGGAGGAUAAAGUUAGAAUUUACCAAAAAAACAUUCCUAAAUAAUUUCUGAAUAUAUAUAUAUAUAUAUAUAUAUAUAUAUAUAAUAAUACNNNNNNNNNNNNNNNNNNNNUAUAUAUAUAUAUAUAUAUAUAUAUAUAUAUAUAAAAUCUGAUGUAACGGGAUAAUUGACUUAUUAACUUCACUAAACUUGGAUCAUUGAUCUGAAUAAUUAAGUUUAAAUUAAUAAUAAUACACUUAUCAAAUCUCUAUAAAUUAAUCUUAGUAUUUGUCUAGUUUUAAUUUUCGAUGUGAAGUAAAAUUAUAAUUGUUCUCAGAAAAAUAUAGUUAUGAUGACAAUUAAACAUCAAGUAUUUUGAUACCAACGUACAUGCUCCUAAAAGUUUGAUUUUAUAUUUCAGUAAUUCCUUUGGAGAAGGACUCACACAGGACACGUCAAAGAGAUGAAGAGGAGGCAUCUGAAAGCUCCAACGAUGCCGGUGUAUGUGCUUCAAAUCAUCAACAUCUUUUCCAUCACAAUAUCAAUAGUCCACUAUUGUCUCUCUGAUUUGUUUCUCACUUUGGCGUCUACAUAUAUAUAAUCUCAAGCAAGCUGAAGCCACAGAGCAAGAUGACCACGAAUAUUUCGGGAGGCAGAGAACAAUUCGUUCGAGAUUUCCAUCUUGCUGCUGUACUCUCGUUGACAAAUUAGUCAUCCCAGGCACUCCUACUAGCUUCUCUGUCUACAAUUUUUGUAGUCAUCCAUGUUCUGUUUCAUUACGCUGAUGUAUUCCUUUUUGUGCUUGCAGUCAAAUGGGUUCGUCUGUUUCUUUUCAUCAUUAUAAGGACUUGUGAGUAACUGUUCCCAAACAGUACAUUGAUGAUAUUAAGAGCCAUGUCCUACUGUUUCAUUACGAGUUCUAGCAAAUUAGGAAAGUACUAUAGAAAAGGCUUCUUGUAAUUUAGUUCUCCAAAACCAAGUAGUUUACAUGAUGGAUAAUUAUAGCUUAUUUGCGGAAAAACAUAAAUGGGACGAUUAUGUCGCUGACUUCUUCUGAUGUUAAUUUGGAGAUGCAAUGCGUUAUGCAGUGUACCCUCGAACCCGACAUCUGGAGAAGAUUAAGAGAACCCAUAGAAAAGCCUUGGAACUCAUCGAAUUUUUAGCCCGCGACCCGAGAAACAUGGAGUUCUACGUGCUGGGAAGAAAACAAGGUGACGGCGGUGCUCCUGCGGCAGACCUUCGAGAAAGAGGUGAGGGACAAGAUCAACUUACCGCACCGGCUGAGUCAUACAGAAGAUGGAACGAGCCACCCUUGAUCUUGGGUGCACAAAUGGGCAUUCCCGAGUUCGUCAGGACGAUCUUACAAGUGUGUCCGGAGGCAGCUACGUAUCUGGACACCCAAGGUCGAAGCGUUCUCCAAGUAGCAAUACGGCAUGGUAACCGAGAUAUUGUGAGAACUAUACGUGAGAUGACUCGAGGGAAGAAUCCCAUACUACCAUUCUGGCUACUGUCUCGCGUCGACAAAGGGACCGGAAGAACCAUCCUGCACUUGGCUUCGGCAACUGCCCCCGAGCAUAACCAAGAUGCUCUACAAAUGCAAGAUGAAUUAAGAUGGUUUGAGGUCAAGUCCCUAACUACAUUAACUACAAAUAAAAUCUUUACAUUCUCGGAGUUGCCUACUAAAUUUGAUCGUUUUCUGACAUUUUUAUGCAGACGGUGAGAGAUAUGGUUCCUAAGGAAUUAGUGUACAGUAGAAACGCGGAAGAGACGACCGCAGAAGAGAUGUUUACUGAGAGUCACAAAGAUUUGCUCAAGAGUUGCAAGGUUCAACUAAUGGAAACGGGCAGACUGUGUUCCGGGCUGGUCGCAGCUGUAGUGUUCGCGUCAAGCUUCUCAGUCCCCGGCGAUAAGGACCCAACCACCGGCAACCCGGUUUACUUCGGUAGGGCAGCUUUUACGGUCUUCUCACACACGUACGUGUUUGGGCUUUCAUGCGCCGCGACAUCUCUGGUGUUGUUCUUAUCCCUCGCCAUGUCACCUUACAAGGAACAGCAGUUCCGUCGUAUCAUCCCAAUCAAAUACUUCUUUGCCCGCUCGUCGUUUGGGUUGGCGAUGCUGUCUUUUCUGGUGGCGUUCACCUGCAACAUCUACCUACAGAUAUAUGGCUGGCAGAAGACGAAGUCGAAGGACUUGAUUCCAUUCAUAUUGGAGCUCACCGCCUUCCCUUUCAUCUGUUUCCUGGUGUUAUUCUUUUAUGGCUCCAAGUUCGGUCUAUCUUUUCUUUUUCAUUCUUGGCGUUGAGUCAACAAGCAUGAUCGUCCACACGAAUCUGGCAGGUUCAUGAUGUACGUGGGUUGUACCUAUUACGGUAUGUCGCCUGUUCCAGUGGUAUGCGGUGGUAGAAGUCAUUGGACAGUUAAAUAUCUUGUGUGUACAAGCAGCAACAAAGGCAUGUUAUAUGUGGCCGCUAUUUGAUUGUAACUUUAAUGUGGUCUUUUCUUCUAUCUUAAAUUAGAUAAUGAUAUAGGCGCCACGGUAGACAACAAAUCUGAUCACCAAUAAUGGUGAUGGCCCAUCAAUACUGAAUAAUGGUGAUGGCCCUGCCUAUUGUUUUUGGACUAAUGUCCAUAUGACAUAGCUGUUGAUGGGAUCUUAUCCUCUCACCGUUGACUGUAUUGUCAUGUAAGAUAUGCAUGGACGUCCUUUCGUUUUCCCAGAGAUCGGCUAGAAGAUAGGAUCGAGUCUUAUUGAAUCUUCUGUGACAAUCAAGUAGUCUUUAUCGUACAAUUUUGGCCCACCAAAGUUUGCACAGGCAAACGAAAUGAUUGGCUUAUAGAAGCCGAUCGUUCAAGAAGUGAAGGACGUCAAUUUUGGAUUGAAAAAAGAUCAUUUAGCUUUUCAAAAAAGAAAAAGAAUAACCUUUAUAAAAUGGAUAGAAAACUCUCCGUGGAGGCCUUUACACCGCUCCUUAGCAGCAUCCAUGGACUGGAGUCAAUAAGAAACAUUUAAGAAAAGAUAGAAACAGACGUAUCGUUGUCCAAAGAGUGAAGAAGACAAACUAACCACAAGCAAUGCUCGUCUAUUUUAAUGACCUGUCACAAGUCUAAUACAGCCACAAAACAUUAAAAAAAAGGAAGAAGCUUGUUUAUGAGGUGCCAAAGGUUAUGGACAUCUAUCUGAUUCACGCACGGAAUGGUCACCAUCCCCGAGCACCUCUUUCGAAGCCAAUUGUUUGGUCGGCACCUUUGAUUCCUUUCUCUGUAUCUGUCCAAGUGCUGCUCGCCCUUUCUCAAGUACUUUCUAAUCCUCUAUCCAUCUCUCCAUUUUUAUUUUUCUACUUUUACUGUUAUAAUAAGUUUUUUAAAUUAUUUUUAUUACAUUAAAUUACAUAUAAGACAUCCUUAUAUAAACAUAUCAUUAUAUUGCCACGACUAUAUAGACGCUUAUUCUAUAUACAAACUAGAAAUAGACAAAAGGAUACCAAUAAAAUAAAGAGACACCGCAAUAAGAAUCGGAUUUGGUAAAGUAUUUUCCUCAAACGAGCUUGGAGGAUCGGAUAAGAGUUUUGUAAAGAGACCACUGCUCCUGAAAUGAAAACCAAUCGUCGUGCUUUCAAUUAAUAAAACCAAUCAUGCAUACCGUUUUCUAAAGUGUUCAAUGAGGAGACAACAUAAGUAAUUGUCAGUUCACGCAUAUUACUUACCGUACGCAGAAGGAGGCGUAGGUACGUCGGUCGAUGGUCACUUGAUCUCCUUCCUGGCCAUCAUAUAAAGGGAGGCCUUCAGGUGCUCAUCUAAGACCACCAAGGGUACGUGAAGGUUGAAGACGUAGCCAUGGAUCCUUCGGGAAGCCAUUCGGCCCUCGCAACAGAUAACAGUGAUGACGAGAAUAGACGACCUAGCGUCUUCGACGUGGAUCACUUUUGCACCGUGACGUCUCUGAUUCAGCAGGAGAAGUACGAGGAUCUAUUACCCCUAGCCAUGAAGAAGGAUCCUCCACUCAACCUCAUGGAGGACCCUGUGCUCAACGUCGUCAUCGAAUACAAGAAGACCGACCUCGCCAAACGGCAGAUUCAAAACAUGCCCGCGGAGAAGAAGCCCGCGGAGAAGCCCGGACCGCUGUGGUACGCUAAUUACCACGGCGACACGGCUCUCCAUGUCGCGGCCACCGUGGGUGACCUCGACGUGGCCAAGGCGUUGGUCUGGAAGAACUCAGAACUCAGAACUCGUCAGUGCACGCAACUGGAAGAACGAGACACCGCUGCACAAAGCGGCGCUGUACGGGCACGAGACGAUGUUCUGGGACCUGGUGGAAAUGGGGUCGCACGCCCCGGACGAGCGGAGGGAGGACGGCGCCACCGUGCUGCACUGUGCCAUCAUGGGCAGCGCGCCGGGUGAGUUGUAAUCAAUUCCAGGAAGCCAUAGUCAUAUAUAGCUCCUUUCUUGUUUUCCAAAAAUAUGUUUACAUAGUUGAAUUGUAAUGUAGCUUUAGCACUGAAGAUUGCCAAGACAUAUCCACCGCUGAUCACGUCGCGGAAUGAUGAUGCGGUGACUCCGAUGCAGCUGACGGUGACAAUUCCAGGGUUAUUCCGAAGCCUAACGAAUCUUGGGCCCUUAGAGGCCGUAAUUUAUAAGCGUGAGUCGUAAUGUAAUUUCUAGGAUUUACAUCACCAUAAAACAUUCACAGCAUGUAGUUAUGGUAACUAAGGCUUUGUUACAUCAAAUAAAAGCACACCAAUAUGCAUGCUAGCUCUUGAAACUUCAUGGCUGUAUACUUUGAUUGCAAUGUUGCAGUGAUUCCAUACGAAGACUCCAGCGAGCCACGUGCAGUAGAUGAAGAGACAACCAGGGUCUCGAGCGCUGUUGAAGUAUGUGCUUCCGGAUGAAUCAUUUUGUUUUGCAUGAUGGCAUUGAUAUAGUUCAUGAGGUCGAUAGCAUCUUUUCUACUACUUGUCAAUAAUAUUUAUCACAAAAUUUAAGAGCAGUUUUUUCCUCAAACUAGACAAUAUAAAGUUUGAUCUACCAUGUGUUAGAAAUUUUUGUAAUAUCAGUCGAAGUCAUUCUGGUUAGGGUUAACGAAUUACCCUUUUAGGAUAUUUCUAUUCAUCUCACACAUAUGAAUAUGGGUUUUGAAAGUCUUUCACAUAUUCACAAAGGUUUAAACUUAAUACAUGUAACUCAAUUUUUAAGUCUUUCUCUUCUUUGAAGGGUUCAAACUUUGAGUUCAUAUAUUUUUUAACUUUACGAUACGGUUCACAUAUCUACAUCUAUCCAAUGGUACGACUCAUCUACAUUCAGUGGCUGGAAUAUUAUGUAAUUUUUUUUUAGAAACGAUAAGUUUGAGCCAUAUUCUAGUUAGGGUUAAUGUAUAUUAGGUCAUACGUCAUACAUCAAUUGAAUCUAGAAACUUUGAUUAUUAUAUUAUCAAUCAAAUUUAGUAUAUGUAACUAGACUCUUUCAAUUAUUAGUAACAUGAGACUAUCCUCUUAGAAUAUUUCUUUUCAUCUCAUAUAUGAUUUGUCCCUGCACGAGUAUUAUUUCCUUGUAUUGUCUCUGACGUUGGCGUCUACAUGUACUUAAUAAGGGAGGUGCAAAAUAUAUCAAGCGAAAGGUUGUGUCUCUUCUGCCCCCCAAAACGUUUCGUUCGAAAUUCCCAUCUCACUACAGCAGUCUCUUUGACCUGCGGGAAUUGAUGUUCAUCCCAGGUACUCACUCCUACGAGCUUCUCUAUUUACAUUUCUUACCUGGAUCUUAUUGUUGGAUCACAGUACUACACUGAUUCGUGCUUCUGUUGAUGCAGCCAGAUGGGUUCAUUUGUUGCUUUUCCGCAUUCUAAAGCAAUGUAAGUCAUUGUUCGUGGAUGGAUGCAUGAUGUUUAGACAUGUUGUCCUUUUCCAAUUAAUGUUAGUGGAAUUGCAAUGCAUCAUGCAGUGUUCCCUAUGAUCGAACGUCUGGAGAAGCAAAAGAAAACCCACAAGGAAACCUUGGAACUGAUCGAGUUCUUAGCCUAUUAUCCUAGGCACAUGGAGUUCUAUUCCAAGGGAAGACGAAAAGGCAAGGAGGAAAGUCUUCUUGUUGGAGACAUCACCAGUUCUACAACAAGACAGUCUCCUCCGUCAACAGACGCUGGUGAAGGCCAAGGAGUAAAUGGAGGAGGGAACCGAGAUCAAGACUUUGAUAGGUUUGCGGAAAAGCUAUUUAUGUAUAUGUCGCACAAGGAUGCCAAUCACGAAGCAGUAGCAAAAGAGCUCAAGAAGAGCAUGAAGGAGUCGAUGGAGGAAGUGUCCGGUGAAUCCACAAUUAGAAGAUGGGACGAGCCGCCCCUGAUCUUGGGUGCACAAAUGGGUCUUCCUGAGUUCGUCAGGACGAUCUUGCUAGUAUGUUCGCAGGCAGCAGCAUACCUGGACACCAAGGGGAGAAGCGUUCUCCAAGUCGCAGUCAUGUAUCGUCGCGAGGAGAUUGUCAAGAUCAUAAUGGACAUGAGAAACAUUUUACCAUCCUGGUUAUUUUCCGAAAUCGAACCCAAAACCGGGAACACCAUCGUGCAUCUUGCUUCACGUGGAAGCCCUGAUGUAGCAAAGGAAGCGCAAGACGAACCGGAUGCAAUGCAACUGCAUUACGAUUUAGUAUGGUUUGAGGUAAAGUUGCUAAACUUUUUUGCCCCCCUCCUCAAAUUUUGACAUGCUUCUCAAAAGUAUUAUCCGUUCAAUUCUUUGACAUGCAUUCUUCGGUGUCGGUUGUGGGUUAUUCGCGCAUAAUACAAAAUAACCAACAAAUACACAAAUAAAAUCUACGUAUUCUCAGAGUUGCGUACUAAAUUUGAUCGUUUUCUGACAUUUGAAUGCAGACGGUGAGAGAUAUGGUUCCUAAGGAAUUAGUGUACAGUCGGAACGCGCAAACGAAGACCGCAGAAGAGAUGUUUACUGAGAGUCACCGAGCGAUGCUAAAGAGUUACAAGGGUCAACUAAUGGAAACGGGCAGGACGUGUUCAGGGCUUGUCGCUGCUGUAGUGUUCGCGUCGAGCUUCUCCAUCCCCGGCGAUAAGGACCCAGCGACCGGCAACCCGGUUUACUUCGGUAGGCCAGCUUUUAAGGUCUUCUCACAUGCGUACGUGAUUGGGUUGUCAUGCGCCGCCACAUCUCUGGUGUUGUUCUUAUCCCUCGCUAUGUCACCUUACAACGAGCAGCAGUUCCAUCGUAUCAUCCCAACCAAAUACUUCUUUGCCCGCUCGUCGUUUGCGAUGGCGAUGCUGUCUUUUCUGGUGGCGUUCACCUGCAACAUCUACCUACAGAUGUAUGGCUGGCAGAAGGCGAAGUCGAAGGACUUGAUUCCAUUCGUAUUGGAGCUCACCGUCUUCCCCGUCAUCUGUUUCCUGGUGUUGUUCUUUCGUGGCUCCGAUUUCGUCUUUGGGGUUGAGUCAACAAGCAUGAUCGUCCACAUCGUUGGAAUCUGCAGCUUCAUGAUGCACGUGGGUUGUACCUAUUACGGUAUGCCACCUGUUCUAGUGGUGUGUGGUGGUGGUAGUCAUUGGACAGUUAAUAACUUGUGUGUACGGGCAGCGACAAAGGCAUGUGGUGUAUAGACAACAGAGCUGGUCACCAAUAAUGGUGAUGGGCCUCUCUAUUGUUUUUGACGAAGUCAAUAUGACACAACUGUUGACCGGAUCUCACCCUGUAUUGUAAUGUAUACUGUCACAUGUCGAGCGACAGAUUUCCCCUAUCGCAUGCAAAUUGCAGUGAGAUGUAUGGACGUCCUUUUGGUUUCCCAGAGGUCGGCUAGAAGAUAGGCUCGAGUUUUAUUGAAUCUUCUGUGACAAAUCACAUAGUCUAUAUCGUAAAGUUCUGGCCCGCCAAAGUUUGCACAGGCAAACGAAAUGAUUGGCUUAUAGAAGCCAAUCAUUCAAGAAGCGAAGGACAUCAAUUUUGGAUUAAAAAAAUAUCAACAAAAAAAAAAUUCACCUUUGUAGAAAGGAAAGAAAACCCUCCUUCGCAUCAUCUAUGGAGUCGAAUAAGAAAGAUUUAAGAAAAGAUAGAAAUGAUCCGAGUGAAGAAGACAAAUUAACGAGCAGCAAUGCUCGUCUAUUCCAAAGACCUGCCACGAGAAUAAUACAGCGAGAAAAAAUGAAAAGAAAAGAAAAGAAAGAAGCUUAUUUAUGAGGUGCGAAAGGUUAUGGACAUCCGAUUCACACUGUUGUAGCCGAUGGUUACUAUCCUCCUCCGAAGCCAACUUGUGCUCGGCUACUUUGAUUCCUUUCUCUAUGACUGUCUCAAGUGCCGCUCGUCCUUUUCCAAUUACUUUUUAUAUAAAAUUAAUAUAUUUUAUAUAACAAAAGAGUAAUUUAUAUAUAUAAAAAAAUUAUUCUAAAUUAUUCAAAAUAUAUUAUUACACUAUCAUUCAAAGAAUGUGUUGCAUAUUAAUUUUUUUUAUAUAUAAAGAAUCCUAUUAAACAUGAGGUAUUACAAAAAAAAAAUAGCUCUCUCCAACAACCUCCUGUCAUGUCAACUUCUAGUAAAAUCCCUUUUAGCUUGAGAAAAGAAGUUCUUCGUUAAUACUAUAAUUGAGACUGCCACCGCAAGUAAAACCAGUGUUUGGUACCCUGUCUCCGUUCCACCAUGCGCUGACGUUAUCAGAUUCCCUUUCGCUGAUCUAUACAUCUUAUUGUCAUAAGACGUGAGACUGAAAGUGAUAUGUUGGAGGAAACUAUUAAUUAUAUUUCUAUUUAUUAUUGGUUGACCGAUGGAGAUGAUUACUUUACUUGAGAUGUCAUGUUGAGGUAAUUAAAUCAUGCCAACGCAGAUUCGAAUAAUAAAAUUCUAUUAGCUUGUCAUUAAGCAAAAGACACCCACUCGAAGAUAACUUGAUUUGGAGCUACAAAUGAUAACACUGAGAGCAAAAGAUUCAAUAAAGAGAUGUUGCCAUAAUCCCGGGUGCAUAAAAAGAAUCGGAGACCAACCAAAGGGUCGUCAACUCCAAAGACUUGCGAUGAGUAUGAUCUACAAAAACUUUUCUAUAAGGUGCAAGUUGAAUGAUCGGUGGAGACCCACAAGUAGAGCUUUGGGUGCAGGCUUCCGGAUUAUUGUUUCCUGUAGAGCAAGAAUCGUUGACCCACAAGUUAAAGCUGCUGUCUAGCUUUAACGUAUGUGAAUUAUUCAUUAGUAGGUUGGCCUCUGUAACAUACGAUUAAUUUGUUGUCGAAUCUUUUGUGAAUGAGAUGGAGGGUGCUUAAUUUGUUAGUGAAAGAAAAGUCAAUAAUGAGAAAAAGGGCAGAGAAGAAAACGCAAGAUGAAAGCUCAUCUGGAGAGUUCUUCAUGGCAGUGCCACUUUAAGAGGGGAGAUAGGUUGGAAGGGGUCCAAAGGGGAUCUGUACUAAACUUGGAACGGUUUAGCUGGUUUGAGCAAAGAAUCCGACGCCAUUUUCCGACACUAAGCGACGCCAAUCGACUGAAAAGGAGGGAGGCGUACGACGAUGGAUGAGAGCCAAAAGGAUAAGCUAAUCUGCUUGUUAAGGCAGGCCUUCAGGUUUCUUUAGUUUCGCAGUAGAAAUCAGGAGGCGAAGGCGUACGAACGAGUUGUACGCACCAUAUAGCAACUGCACCAUAUAUAUUUUUGGUCGGUGAGAACGUAGCGAAAGGAGCGGCUCCCUUCGGUGUGUUUUGGAUAUGACGGCUCCUUCCACCACCCAAAAGCUGACGCCUGCUGCAGAUGUAGGCACCGGAUCAGGGAGAAAAGUAGAGAAACAGCCGUCUGUACCCGGGAAAUCGCAGCCUGCACACGGCGCAGGUGGUGGUGGAUCAGAGGAGCCACCGCAUGCCCUGGACGUGGCACGCUUCCGCCGGCUGAACUCGCUCAUCCACCGUGAGAACGUGGACGCGAACAAACUCCUGCGUCUAGUGGAGCAGGAUAACCACGUGAACCUCAUGAACGACCCCUUGCUCAGCGUCGUCAUCGCCUGCAAGAAGCCCAAGCUCGCCUGCAGCCUCAUCGACAAAAUAUCAUCAAAUGACAUUCUCAAGGCCAGCAACUUAAACGGCGACACGGCGCUUCACGUAGCUGCCGCCAUGGACGACAAAGAAGUGGCCUCGAAGCUGAUCGACAGGGUGCCAGAUCUCGUUCAUAUGCAGAACGUGAAACAGGAGAUACCGCUACAUAAGGCGGCGCUGUACGGGCUGCUGGACAUGUUCUGGCUGCUGGUGGAAAAUAACAGCUCACCGAAAGCCCGGAGGGAGGACGGCGCCACCAUGCUGCACUGUGCCAUCAUGGGCAACGCGCCGGGUAAGCGAUCAUCACCAGUUUUGUUGGUCUGGCGCUGGCCAGCUGUCUUUCUCUUGUUUUUAUCCUAUUUUUUUGAAGUGUUGUAUGUGGAUCAUACUGCUUCCGCAUCUUUGGUGUGAUCAAGGUGAGUGAGUCGACGCAGGGCUUGCACUGGAGAUUGCAAAGCGUUUUCCAUUGCUGAUCACAUCGCGGAAUACUAUGGCGGUAACCCCGUUGCAGCUGAUGGUGACCGUUCCGGGGUUAUUCCGAAGCCAAAUGGUAAUUGGCGGCUUCGAGUCCAUCCUCCAUGACUGUAAGUGCUGCCCCGCCUCUUCCUUCAACGCCCCCAGCGCCCCGCCCUCCCCCCUGCUUCUCUAUUUAUUGCACUACAUUUCCUACUAACGACUACCUUAAUUUAGCGAUCGUUCGACGUCCAAAUUUAUCGAGAAUUUACCAAGGGGUGUUUUGUUUCUCAUUAUCGGGACACAUAUACCCUUGAUUUUUUGGAUUUAUUAUAUGGUUUUGUGUUAAACCGAAUCAAAUCUAAUCGGUCGAAUCUGGUUUGCACUCUGUUCUUUUUUCUUUCACAUGUCUCCUCCUCCUUCCCUCGAUUCGCCCUUUUUGUUGUCACCCUUUCACCCUUAUUCUUUCUUCUUCAAGGAGGAGGAGGAGAGGAAGCGACACAAGGUUGACCGGUUCAUUGAACCGGUUCGCUCAUCGAAACUGUUUUUGUGAAUCAUUUCAAAAAGUUUGAAACGAAAUUAAUUGGAAUAGGAGGAUAAAGUUAGAAUUUACCAAAAAAAAAAACAUUCCUAAAUAAUUUCUGAAUAGAGGGGCGUGAUAGAAACCAAUUACUAAUAAUCUUUUAGGUGAAUUAUUAUUAUUAUUAUUAUUAUUAUUAUUAUUAUUAUUAUUAUUAUUAUUAUUAUUAUAUAUAAAUAUAAUAUGGUGUAACGGAAUUAUUGACUUAGUAACUUCACUGAACUUGGAUCGUUGAUCUGAAUAAUUAAGUUUAAAUUAAUAAUAAUACACUCAUCAAAUCUCUAUAAAUUAAUCUUAGAAUUUGUCUACUUUUAAUUUUCGAUGUGAAGUAAAAUUAUAAUUGUUCUCAGAAAAAUAUAGUUAUGAUGAAACUUAAACAUCAAGCAUUUUGAUACCAGUAGUGUACAUGCUCCUAAAAUUUUGAUUUUACAUUUCAGUUAUUCCUUUGGAGAAGGACUCAGACAGGACUCGUCGAAGAGAUGAAGAGGAGGCAAGUGGAAGCUCCAACGAUGCCGGUGUAUGUGAUUCAAAUCAUCAACAUCUUUUCCAUCACAAUAUCAAUAGUCCACUAUUGUCUCUCUGAUUUGUUUCUCUUUUUGGCGUCUACAUAUAUAUAAUCUCAAGCAAGCUGAGGGCACAGAACAAGAUGACCACGAAUAUUUCGGGAGGCAGAGAACAAUUCGUUCGAGAUUUCCAUCUUGCUGCUGUACUCUCGUUGACAUAUUAGUCAUCCCAGGCACUCCUACUAGCUUCUCUGUCUACAAUUUUUGUAGUCAUCCAUGUUCUGUUUCAUUACGCUGAUGUUUUCCUUUUUGUCCUUGCAGUCAAAUGGGUUCGUCUGUUUCUCUUCAUCAUUUUAAAGACCUGUGAGUAAUUGUUCCCAAACAGUACAUUGAUGAUAUUUAGAACCAUGUCCUACUGUUUCAUUACGAGUUUUAGCAAAUUAGGAAAGUACUAUAGAAAAGGCUUCUUGUAAUUUAGUUCUCCAAAACCAAGUAGUUUACAUGAUGGAUAAUUAUAGCUUAUUUGCGGAAAAACAUAGAUGGGAUGAUCAUGUCGCUGACUUCUUCUGAUGUUAAUUUGGAGAUGCAAUGCGUUUAAGAUUAAUUUAGUUCUUCUGAUGAUCAUGUCGGAAAAACAUAAAUGCAGUGUACCCUCGAACCCGACAUCUGGAGAAGAUUAAGAGAACCCAUAGAAAAGCCUUGGAACUCAUCGAAUUUUUAGCCCGCGAACCGAGAAACAUGGAGUUCUACGUGCUGGGAAGCAAACAAGGUGACGGCGGAGCUCCUGCGGCAGGCUUUCGAGAAAGUGGUGGGCGACAAGAUCAACUUAAUGCACCAGCUGCGUCUACCAGAAGAUGGAAUGAGCCACCCUUGAUCUUGGGUGCACAAAUGGGCAUUCCCGAGUUCGUCAGUACGAUCUUACGAGUGUGUCCGCAGGCAGCUACGUACCUGGACACCGGUGGCCGAAGCGUUCUCCAAGUAGCAAUAAAGCAUGGUAACCGAGAGAUUGUGAGAACUAUACGUGAGAUGACUCGGGGGAAUAAUCCCAUACUACCAUCCUGGCUACUGUCCCGUGUCGACAAAGGGACCGGAAGAACCAUCCUACACCUUGCGUCGGCAAAUGCCCCCAAGCAUACCCAAGAUGCUCUACAAAUGCAAGAUGAAUUAAGAUGGUUUGAGGUCAAGUCCCUAACUACAUUAACUACAAAUAAAAUCUUUACAUUCUCGGAGCUGCCUACUAAAUUUGAUCGUUUUCUGACAUUUGUAUGCAGAGGGUGAGAGAUAUGGUUCCUAAGGAAUUAGUGUACAGUCGAAACGCGCAAGAGAUGACCGCAGAAGAGAUGUUUACUCUGAGUCACCAAGCUUUGCUCAAGAAUUGCAAGGAUCAACUAAUGGAAACGGGCAGGCUGUGUUCAGGGCUGGUCGCAGCUGUAGUGUUCGCGUCGAGCUUCUCAGUCCCCGGCGAUAAGGACCCAGCCACCGGCAACCCGGUUUACUUCGGUAGGGCAGCUUUUACGGUCUUCUCACACACGUACGUGUUUGGGCUUUCAUGCGCCGCGACAUCUCUGGUGUUGUUCUUAUCCCUCGCCAUGUCACCUUACAAGGAACAGCAGUUCCGUCGUAUCAUCCCAAUCAAAUACUUCUUUGCCCGCUCGUCGUUUGGGUUGGCGAUGCUGUCUUUUCUGGUGGCGUUCACCUGCAACAUCUACCUGCAGUUAUAUGGCUGGCAGAAGACGAAGUCGAAGGACUUGAUUCCAUUCAUAUUGGAGCUCACCGCCUUCCCUUUCAUCUGUUUCCUGGUGUUAUUCUUUUAUGGCUCCAAGUUCUUUUAUGGCUCCAAGUUCGGUCUAUCUUUUCUUUUUCGUUCUUGGCGUUGAGUCAACAAGCAUGAUCGUCCACAUCCUUCGAAUCUGCAGCUUCAUGAUGUACGUGGGUUAUACCUAUUACGGUAUGCCGCCUGUUCCAGUGGUGUGUGGUGGUGGUAGUCAUUGGACAGUUAAUAACUUAUGUGUACAAGCAGCGACAAAGGCAUGUGAUGUAUGGACGCUAUUUGAUUGCAACUUUAAUGUGGUUUUUUAUCUUCUAUCUUCGAUUAGAUGAUGUCUGCGCAACGGUAGACAACAGAGCUGGUCACCAAUAAUGGUGAUGGCCCUCUCUAUUGUUUUUGACGAAGUCAAUAUGACACAACUGUUGACCGGAUCUCACCCUGUAUUGUAAUGUAUACUGUCACAUGUCGAGCGACAGAUUUCCCCUAUCGCAUGCAAAUUGCAGUGAGAUGUAUGGACGUCCUUUUGGUUUCCCAGAGGUCGGCUAGAAGAUAGGCUCGAGUUUUAUUGAAUCUUCUGUGACAAAUCACAUAGUCUAUAUCGUAAAGUUUUGGCCCGCCAAAGUUUGCACAGGCAAACGAAAUGUUUGGCUUAUAGAAGCCGAUUAUUCAAGAAGCGAAGGACAUCAAUUUUGGAUUAAAAAAAUAUCAACAAAAAAAAAUCACCUUUGUAGAAAGGAAAGAAAACCCUCCUUCGCAUCAUCUAUGUAGUCAAAUAGGAAAGAUUUAAGAAAAGAUAGAAAUGGUCCGAGUGAAGAAGACAAACUAACGAGCAACAAUGCUCGUCUAUUCCAAAGACAUGCCACGAGAAUAAUGCAGCAAGAAAAAAUGAAAAGAAAAGAAAAGAAAGAAGUUUAUUUAUGAGGUGCGAAAUGUUAUGGACAUCCGAUUCACACUGUUGCAGCUGAUGGUUACCAUCCUCUUCCGAAGCCAACUUGUGCUCGGCUCCUUUGAUUCCUUUCUAUAAAGGUUAUGGACAUCCGAUUCACUCGCGCCAUUGCUGCUCGUCCUUUCCCAAUUACUUUUUAUAUAAAAUUAUUAUAUUUUAUAUAAUAAUAUAGUAAUUUUUAUAAAAAAAGUAUUCUAAAUUAUUCUAAAUAUAUUAUUAUACUAUCAUUCAAAGAAUGUGUUGAAUAUUAAUUUUUUUUAUAAAUUUAUCCAAAAUUCAUCAUAAAACUAAUCAUAAAAUUCUACAUCUCUUAUUUUCUAUUUCCUAUAUUGACUUAGUUAUACUCAAAAUUAAAAUAAAUUAAAUUCGAUUACCUAACUUAUUUUAAUAUUAAUAUAUAUAUAUAUAUAUAUAUAUAUAUAUUACUUUUAGAUAUAUUUAGGAUAAUUAAUUAUCAGAACUUUGAGAAUUCUACUGUAAUUUGAUUCUAACCAAAAAAAUACUAGUUUUUUUAUUUUAUAAUAAGUUUAUAUAAAAUUAAUAUAUCUUACUAAAUUCGAGUGUAACUUAGAUUUGGCUCUACCCAACCCGACUCGAUCCGAAAGGAUGCGCCCCAAAUCAAUUUAAUUCAGAUCCAAUCAACCAGCUAAUUAGUUAGGUUUGAAAUAGUCUCGUAUUAUGAAAAUUUUUAAAUAAAAAUAUCCUGAGCUUUUAUAUAUAUAUAUAUAUAUAUAUAUAUAUAUAUAUAUAAAGAAUCCUAUUAAACAUGAGGUAUUACAAAAAAAAUCGCUCUCCAACAACCUCCUGUCAUGUCAACUCUAGUAAAAUCCCUUUUAGCUUGAGAAAAGAAGUUCUUCGUCAAUACUAUAAUUGAGACUGCAACCGAUUCUUUGUUUUUUACUCAUUUUCUUUUGGUUCGUUUUCAUGUCAGUGUCAAGCUACAUGAUAGUUAAACAAGUGUUUGGUACCUUGUCUCCGUUCCACCAUGCUCUGACGUUAUCAGAUUCCCUUUCUGUGAUCUAUGUAUCUUUUUGUCAUAAGACGUGAGACUGUCAGUGAUAUGUUGGAAGAAACUAUUAAUUAUAUUUCUAUUUAUUAUUGGUUGACCGAUGGAGAUGAUUACUUUACUUGGGAUGUCAUGUUGAGGUAAUUAAAUCAUGCCAACGCAGAUUCGAAUAAUAAAAUUCUUUUAGCUUGUCAUUAAGCAAAAGACACCCACUCGAAGAUAACGUGAUUUGGAGCUACAAAUGAUAACAUCGAGAGCAAAAGAUUCAAUAAAGAGAUGUUGCCAUAAUCCCGGGUGCAUAAAAAGAAUCGGAGACCAACCAAAGGGUCGUCAACUCCAAAGACUUGCGAUGAACAUGAUCUACAAAACCUUUUCUAUAAGGUGCAAGUGGAGGUUUGGGUGCAAGCUUCCGGAUUAUUGUUUCCUGUAGAGCAAGAAUCGUUGACCCUCGCAUGGCCAUCCACGUUUAUGGCAUGUAGGUGCUGUCUAGCUUUAACGUAUGUGAAUUAUUCAUUAGUAGGUUGGCCUCACUAACGUACGAUUAAUUUGUUGUCGAAUCUUUUGUGAGUGAGAUGGAGAGUGCUUAAUUUGUUGUGAAAGAAAAAACAAUAAUGAGAAAACUAGCACAGAAGAAAACGCAAGUUGAAAGCUCAUCUGGAGAGUUCUUCAUGGCAGUGCCACUUUAAGAGGGGAUAUGAGUUGGAAGGGGUCCAAAGGGGAUCUGUACUAAACUUGGAACUGUUUAGCUGGUUUGAGCAAAGAAUCCGACGCCAUUUUCCGACUCUAAGCGACGCCAAUCGACUGAGAAGGAGGGAGGCGUACGACGAUGGAUGAGAGCCAAAAGGAUCAGCUAAUCUUGUUGUUAAGGCAGUCCUUUCAGGUUGCUUUAAUUUUGGUGUAGGCAUCUGGCGGCGAAGGCGUACUUACCAUAUAGCAACUGCAUGCUAUGGGGGAUCCCGCCGCUCUUGCCAAUACGGAUUCCAUUCACGACGGCACAGAGGAUGCUGAUCCACUGCAUGUGCUCAACAGGAGACAUUUUCUCGCGGUGAAGUCUCAUUUCCGUCAGAGGAAGCACGAGGCACUCUUGGCUCUAGCCGUGGAAGAUCCUGGUCGCCCGGUGAACCUCAUGAACGACACUUUGCUCCACGUCGUCAUAGCUUGCAACAAGACCGACCUCGCCAAAAGUAUUAUCUUGCAGAUGCCAGUGGAGACCCUCGCGGCCAAGAAUUUGUACGGCGACACGGCUCUUCAUGUCGCUGCCGCCGUGGGUAACAGCGAGGUGGCCAGGGAGCUGUUCGGCAAGAGAGAAGAUCUCAUCGGAGAACAGAACUUGAAGCAGGAGACACCACUGCACAAAGCGGCGUUCUACGGGCAUCAUGACAUGUUCUGGUGCCUGGUGGACGAGGGGAAUGGCUCCCCGUACGAGCGGAGGGAGGACGGCGCCACCAUGCUGCAUUGUGCCAUCAUGGGCAACGAGCCGGGUAAGCGAUCAUCACCAGUUUCGUUGGCCAGCUGCCUUUAUCUUGUUUUUAUCCUAUCCUAUUUAUUUGAAUUGUUAUAUGUGGAUCAUACUGCUUCCGCAUCUUUGGCGUGAUCAAGGUGAGUGAGUAUCGAUGCAGGGCUGGCACUGGAGAUUGCAGAGCAUUUUCCAUUGCUGAUCACGUCGCGGAAUACUAUGGCGGUGACCCCGUUGCAGCUGAUGGUGACCGUUCCGGGGUUAUUCCGAAGCCAAAUGGAACUUGGCGGCUUCGAGUCCAUCCUCCAUGACUGUAAGUGCUGCCCGCCUCUUCCUUCAUCGCCCCCGGCGCCCCGCCCUCCCCCCUGCUUCUCUAUUUCUUUCACUACAUUUCCUACCAACGACUACCUUAAUUUAGCGAUCGUUCGACGUCCAAAUUUAUCGAGAAUUUACCUAAGGGUGUUUUUUUCUCAUUAUCGGAACACAUAUACCCUUGAUUUUUUGGAUUUAUUGUAUGGUUUUGUGUUAAACCGAAUCAAAUCUAACCGGUCGAGUCUGAUUUGAUCUCUGUUCUUUAUUCUUUCACAUGUCUUUCUCCUCCUUCCCUCAAUUCCCCCUUUUGUUGUCACCCUUUCACCCUUAAUUCUUUCUUCUUCAAGGAGGAGAGGAGGAGUAGGCGGAGGAGGAGAAGAGGAAGCGACAGAAGGUUGACCGCUUCAUCGAACCGGUUCGCUCAUUCAAACUGUUUUAGUAAAUCAUUUCAAAAAGUUUGAAACGAAAUUAAUUGGAAUAGGAGGAUAAAGUUAGAAUUUACCAAAAAAAAUUCCUAAAUAAUUUUUGAAUAGAGGGGAGUGAUAGAAAACAAUUACUAAUAAUCUUUUNNNNNNNNNNNNNNNNNNNNUAUAUAUAUAUAUAUAUAUAUAUAUAUAUAUAUAUAUAUAUAUAAUCUAAUCUAACAGAAUAAUUGACUUAUUAACUUCAGGAUCAUUGAUCUGAAUAAUUAAGUUUAAAUUAAUAAUAAUACACUUAUCAAAUCUCUAUAAAUUAAUCUUAGUAUUUGUCUACUUUUAAUUUUCGAUGUGAAGUAAAAUUAUAAUUGUUCUGAGAAAAAUAUAGUUAUGAUGAAACUUAAACAUCAAGCAUUUUGAUUUUACAUUUCAGUUAUUCCUUUGGAGAAGGACUCACACAGGACUCGUCGAAGAGAUGAAGAGGAGGCAGGUGGAAGCUCCAACGAUGCCGGUGUAAGUGAUUCAAAUCAUCAACAUCUUUUCCAUCACAAUAUCAAUAGUCCACUAUUGUCUCUUAUUUGUUUCUCACUUUGGCGUUUACAUAUAUAUAAUCUCAAGCAAGCUGAAGCCGCAGAGCAAGAUGACCACGAAUAUUUCGGGAGGCAUAGAACAAUUCGUUCAAGAUUUCCAUCUUGCUGCUGUACUCUCGUUGACAUAUUAGUCUUCCCAGGCACUCCUACUAGCUUCUCUGUCUACAAUUUUUGUAGUCAUCCAACUUCUGUUUCAUUACACUGAUGUAUUCCUUUUUGUGCUUGCAGUCAAAUGGGUUCGUCUGUUUCUUUUCUUCAUUAUAAGGACUUGUGAGUAACUGUUCCCAAACAGUACAUUGAUGAUGUUAAGAGCCAUGUCCUACUGUUUCAUUACGAGUUCUAGCAAAUUAGGAAAGUACUAUAGAAAAGGCUUCUUGUAAUUUAGUUCUCCAAAACAAAGUAGUUUACAUGAUGGAUAAUUAUAGCUUAUUUGCGGAAACACAUAAAUGGGAUGAUCAUGUCGCUGACUUCUUCUGAUGUUAAUUUGGAGAUGCAAUGCGUUUAAGAUUAAUUUAGUUCUUCUGAUGAUCAUGUCGGAAAAACAUAAAUGCAGUGUACCCUCGAACCCGACAUCUGGAGAAGAUUAAGAGAACCCAUAGAAAAGCCUUGGAACUCAUCGAAUUUUUAGCCCGCGACCCGAGAAACAUGGAGUUCUACGUGCUGGGAAGAAUGCAAGGUGACGGCGGAGCUCCUGCGGCAGGCUUUCGAGAAAGAGGUGGACGACAAGAUCAACUUAAUGCACCAGCUGCGUCUACGAGAAGAUGGAACGAGCCACCCUUGAUCUUGGGUGCACAAAUGGGCAUUCCCGAGUUCGUCAGUACCAUCUUACGAGUGUGUCCGGAGGCAGCUACCUACCUGGACACCCGUGGCCGAAGCGUUCUCCAAGUAGCAAUAGAGCAUGGUAACCGAGAGAUUGUGAGAACUAUACGUGAGAUGACUCAGGGGAAGAAUCCCAUACUACCAUCCUGGCUACUGUCCCGCGUCGACAAAGGGACCGGAAGAACCAUCCUGCACUUUGCUUCGGCAAAUGCCCCUGAGCAUAACCAAGAUGCUCUACAAAUGCAAGAUGAAUUAAGAUGGUUUGAGGUCAAGUCCCUAACUACAUUAACUAGAAAUAAAAUAUUUAUAUUCUCGGAGUUGCCUACUGAAUUUGAUCGUUUUCUGACAUUUGAAUGCAGACGGUGAGAGAUAUGGUUCCUAAGGAAUUAGUGUACAGUCGAAACGCGCAAGAGAUGACCGCAGAAGAGAUGUUUACCAAGAGUCACCAAGCUUUGCUCAAGAGUUGCAAGGUUCAACUAAUGGAAACGGGAAGGUUGUGUUCGGGGCUGAUCGCAGCUGUAGUGUUCGCGUCGAGCUUCUCCAUCCCCGGCGAUAAGGACCCAGCGACCGGCAACCCGGUUUACUUCGGUAGGGCAGCUUUUAAGGUCUUCUCACAUGCGUACGUGAUUGGGUUGUCAUGCGCCGCCACAUCUCUGGUGUUGUUCUUAUCCCUCGCCAUGUCACCGAACAAGGAGCAGCAGUUCCGUCGUAUAAUCCCCACCAAAUACUUCUUUGCCCGCUCGUCGUUUGGGUUUGCGAUGCUGUCUUUUCUGGUGGCG